GAAUUUAUUCUUAUUUGUAGAAUUAAAAAGAGUAUGUCUCAAACAAAGAGAAAGAAAGAAAUAGAUAUUACAUGGAAUCAUUGUGAGAGUGUUCCUCCUCAUAGACUUUUAGUCAAGUGCAAAUAUUGUUCACAUACUUGUUGGGAUGGUGUAGCAAGAAUUAAACAUCAUCUUGCUGGAACAAAGGAGAAUGUCAUUGCUUGUACAUCUGUUCCUGAUGAUGUUAGAGAAAUGUUUUUGAAGUUGUUAGAAGAUAAAGAAAAAAUAAAAGAAGCAAAUCGGGUAGACUGUUUUGAAGAAACAAAUAUUCAAUGUAGUAAGAAGGGGAAACAAGGAGUUGCAAAACAGACAACCAUAAAUGAAAUGUUUAAAGAUAGAGAGUUGGUGAUUCAAGAUAUUUGCAACUGCAUAUAUGGGAAUGCUUUGCCAUUUAAUUUGGUAAGAAGCUCCUUAUUUACCCAAAUGUUGAAAUCUGUUGGGGAAUAUGGAAAGGGUUUAAAGCCUCCAACUUAUCAUGAAGAUAGAGUAUCUUAUCUGAAAAAAGUGGUUGACAAUAUCCAAGCUAGUUUGGAGAAAUAUAAGGUUGAAUGGGAAAAAUGGGGAUGCACUUUGAUGUGUGAUGGUUGGAUAGAUGGAAAAGGGAGGUCUCUUACCAACUUUUUAGUUAAUAGUCCAAGCGGAACAAUGUUCUUAAAAUCUAUUGAUACUAGUAAUGUGAUCAAGGAUGCUAAACAAAUGUUUGAAUUGUUAGAUUCUGUGAUUGAAGAAAUUGGGGAGGAUAAUGUCGUGCAAGUUGUGACAGAUGUUGCUUCUAAUUUUGUGGCAGCAGGAAAGAUGUUAGAAGAGAAGAGAACUAAACUAUUUUGGUCUCCGUGUGCAGCUCAUUGUCUUGACUUAAUUCUUGAAGACAUUGGUGAACUUCCAGUAUUUUACAAUACGAUUGCAAAUGCAAAAAAAGUCACAACUUUCAUUUAUAGACACACAUGGGUCCUAAAUUUAUAUAGAAAAUAUUCUAAAGGAAAAGAAUUAGCUCGACCAGCAGUCACAAGAUUUGCAACUGCUUUUCUAACCCUUCAGUGUAUAGCACAACAGAGAAAUGCUCUUCGAGGUAUGUUUGUUUUAGAAGCAUGGACAACUACUAAACAUGCUAGUAAGACUAAAGGUAAACAAGUAGUGAGCAUUGUUUUAUCUGAUGUUAGAUUUUGGAAAUCUAUCCAAUAUUGCCUGAAAUGUGUCACUCCACUUGUAAAAAUACUAAGGCUUGUGGAUGGAGACUCAAAACUUGCAAUGACAUAUAUUUAUGAAGCUAUGGAUAGAGCUAAAGAGCAAAUAGUUGCAAAUUUCAAGAAUGAAGAAUCUCGUUAUAAAAAGGUGUGGAAAAUAAUUGAUACUCGUUGGAAUUUGCAGUUACAUAGACCUCUUCAUGCUGCUGCUUACUACCUUAAUUAUUUCAUUAUGACAAAAGCUUCAAUCCGGAUGAAGAGGUUUCAUAUGGUUUGUAUGAGACCAUAGAAAAAAUGAUCCCUGAUAGAGAAGGAUUAGAUUUCAACUUGAUCAACAACUUGAUAGAUUUAAGAAAGCCCAAGGAUUAUUUGGAAGAAGCAUGGCAAUUGACACUAGGGAUAAGAAGCAACCUGCUCUUUGGUGGGAAAGUUAUGGUGUUGAAGGUAAAGAGUUGCAAAAUCUAGCAAUGAGAAUUUUAAGUCUCACGUGUAGUGCUACUGGUUGUGAAAGAAACUGGAGCAUAUUUGAUCAAGUCCAUACCAAAAGAAGAAACCGCUUGGAACAACAAAGAUUAAAUGCUCUUGUCUUUGUUAAAUAUAAUCUUCAACUUGAAAUGAGACAAAAGGUUAGAGAAGAGAAAGGAGAUACUUAUGAUCCUAUAUGUCUAUCUGAUAUUGAAUCAGAUGAUGAGUGGAUUACUGAAAAAGAGGAUCCUUGUCUACCAAACGAUGUUUCAUGGAUGGAUAUACAUGAAUCUUUUACUCUUGAAGAGGGAGCUCCAAGCAAGAAAAGGAAGAGGGGUCCAAGAAACUUAAACAUAAAGGGAAAAUCUACUACACCAGCAAAUGAUGAUGGAAUUGAAAGGAUGGUUGAAGAAGUUGAGGAAGAGGAUGAAGAAGAUGAAGAUGUGUUGCCACAGAAUGUUAUAUUAGAUGAAGUAGAUGAUCUAAGUGACAUUGAUCUUGGAGAUGAUGAAUGAAAGAAUAAAAUUAAGAUGUAACAUUUAAAUUGGAGAUCUUGAUUUAAUUAUAAUAUAUGAUAUUUUUAAUGUUUUUUAUUUAUCAUGUAUCUUACGAUUCAAAGUAAGA